CUAGGCAAAAUGGUGCCGUAACUUCGGGAGAAGGCACGCUGACACGUAGGUGAAGUGAUUUACUCACGGAGCUGAAGUCAGUCGAAGAUACCAGCUGGCUGCAACUGUUUAUUAAAAACACAGCACUGUGCAAACACGAAAGUGGACGUAUACGGUGUGACGCCUGCCCGGUGCCGGAAGGUUAAUUGAUGGGGUCAGCGCAAGCGAAGCUCCUGAUCGAAGCCCCGGUAAACGGCGGCCGUAACUAUAACGGUCCUAAGGUAGCGAAAUUCCUUGUCGGGUAAGUUCCGACCUGCACGAAUGGCGUAAUGAUGGCCAGGCUGUCUCCACCCGAGACUCAGUGAAAUUGAACUCGCUGUGAAGAUGCAGUGUACCCGCGGCAAGACGGAAAGACCCCGUGAACCUUUACUAUAGCUUGACACUGAACAUUGAGCCUUGAUGUGUAGGAUAGGUGGGAGGCUUUGAAGUGUGGACGCCAGUCUGCAUGGAGCCGACCUUGAAAUACCACCCUUUAAUGUUUGAUGUUCUAACGUGGACCCGUUACCCGGGUUGCGGACAGUGUCUGGUGGGUAGUUUGACUGGGGCGGUCUCCUCCUAAAGAGUAACGGAGGAGCACGAAGGUUGGCUAAUCCUGGUCGGACAUCAGGAGGUUAGUGCAAUGGCAUAAGCCAGCUUGACUGCGAGCGUGACGGCGCGAGCAGGUGCGAAAGCAGGUCAUAGUGAUCCGGUGGUUCUGAAUGGAAGGGCCAUCGCUCAACGGAUAAAAGGUACUCCGGGGAUAACAGGCUGAUACCGCCCAAGAGUUCAUAUCGACGGCGGUGUUUGGCACCUCGAUGUCGGCUCAUCACAUCCUGGGGCUGAAGUAGGUCCCAAGGGUAUGGCUGUUCGCCAUUUAAAGUGGUACGCGAGCUGGGUUUAGAACGUCGUGAGACAGUUCGGUCCCUAUCUGCCGUGGGCGCUGGAGAACUGAGGGGGGCUGCUCCUAGUACGAGAGGACCGGAGUGGACGCAUCACUGGUGUUCGGGUUGUCAUGCCAAUGGCACUGCCCGGUAGCUAAAUGCGGAAGAGAUAAGUGCUGAAAGCAUCUAAGCACGAAACUUGCCCCGAGAUGAGUUCUCCCUGAGACUUUAGGUCUCCUGAAGGAACGUUGAAGACGACGACGUUGAUAGGCCGGGUGUGUAAGCGCAGCGAUGCGUUGAGCUAACCGGUACUAAUGAACCGUGAGGCUUAACCUUACAACGCCG
rnacentral:rRNA from 1 species